UUUAGCUCCAACUUACCUCAGCACACCUACCUGGAAGUUUCUAUUAUGCCUAGUAAGACCUUGAUUAGCUGGUUCAGGUGUGUUUAAUUGGGGUUGGAGCUGAACUCUGCAGGACAGUGGUCCUCCAGGUGCAGGAUUGGACACUCCUGCUCUAGGCUCUUGAGAU